rnacentral:rRNA from 1 species
GACGUAGGGCGCGAGCGUUGUCCGGAUUUAUUGGGCGUAAAGAGCUCGUAGGCGGCUUGUCGCGUCGACUGUGAAAACCCGCGGCUCAACUGUGGGCUUGCAGUCGAUACGGGCAGGCUGGAGUUCGGUAGGGGAGACGUGGAAUUCCUGGUGUAGCGGUGAAAUGCGCAGAUAUCAGGAGGAACACCGGUGGCGAAGGCGGGGUCUCUGGGCCGAUACUGACGC